rnacentral:rRNA from 1 species
GGUGAACGCUGGCGGCGUGCUUAAGACAUGCAAGUCGAACGCAGUCUUCGGACUGAGUGGCGCACGGGUGAGUAACACGUAACUGACCUACCCCCAAGUCGCGAAUAACCAGCCGAAAGGAUGGCUAAUACGUGAUGUGAUGAUCCGCUGUGGCGGAUCAUUAAAGACUUGAUCGCUUGGGGAUGGGGUUGCGUUCCAUCAGCUAGUUGGUAAGGUAAAGGCUUACCAAGGCAACGACGGAUAGCCGGCCUGAGAGGGUGGCCGGCCACAGGGGCACUGAGAAGCGGGUCCCACUCCUACGGGAGGCAGCAGUUAGGAAUCUUCCACAAUGGGCGCAAGCCUGAUGGAGCGACGCCGCGUGAGGGAUGAAGGUUCUCGGAUCGUAAACCUCUGAACCAACGACGAAAGACCCGACAAGGGAGAUGACGGUAGUUGGGUAAUAGCACCGGCUAACUCCGUGCCAGCAGCCGCCGUAACAC